UGAUCUGGAGGCUGCGGGUUCGAGCCCCGCGGUGGGUUGCCCGCCUGGCGCAAUGGUGGCGCGCCAGACUUCUAGG
rnacentral:tRNA from 1 species